rnacentral:rRNA from 1 species
UCCAGACUCCUACGGGAGGCAGCAGUGGGGGAUAUUGCACAAUGGGGGAAACCCUGAUGCAGCGACGCCGCGUGAGCGAUGAAGUAUUUCGGUAUGUAAAGCUCUAUCAGCAGGGAAGAAGAUGACGGUACCUGACUAAGAAGCCCCGGCUAACUACGUGCCAGCAGCCGCGGUAAUACGUAGGGGGCAAGCGUUAUCCGGAUUUACUGGGUGUAAAGGGAGCGUAGACGGCAGCGCAAGUCUGAAGUGAAAUGCCAGGGCUUAACCCUGGAACUGCUUUGGAAACUGUGCAGCUAGAGUGCAGGAGAGGUAAGUGGAAUUUCUAGUGUAGCGGUGAAAUGCGUAGAUAUUAGGAGGAACACCAGUGGCGAAGGCGGCUUACUGGACUGUAACUGACGUUGAGGCUCGAAAGCGUGGGGAGCAAACAGGAUUAGAUACCCCCGUAU